rnacentral:rRNA from 1 species
AGUGAACGCUGGCGGUAGGCCUAACACAUGCAAGUCGAACGGCAGCACAGUAAGAGCUUGCUCUUACGGGUGGCGAGUGGCGGACGGGUGAGGAAUACAUCGGAAUCUACUUUUUCGUGGGGGAUAUCGUAGGGAAACUUACGCUACUACCGCAUACGACCUACGGGUGAAAGCAGGAGCUCUUCGGACCUUGCGCGAUUGAAUGAGCCGAUGUCGGAUUAGCUAGUUGGGGGGGUAAAGGCCCACCAAGGCGACGAUCCGUAGCUGGUCUGAGAGGAUGAUCAGCCACACUGGAACUGAGACACGGUCCAGACUCCUACGGGAGGCAGCAGUGGGGAAUAUUGGACAAUGGGCGCAAGCCUGAUCCAGCCAUACCGCGUGUGUGAAGAAGGCCUUCGGGUUGUAAAGCCCUUUUGUUGGGAAAGAAAAGCAGCAGGUUAAUACCCCGCUGUUCUGACGGUACCCAAAGAAUAAGCACCGGCUAACUUCGUG